rnacentral:rRNA from 1 species
UACGGAGGGUGCAAGCGUUAUCCGGAUUUACUGGGUUUAAAGGGUGCGUAGGUGGGUUGGUGAGUCAGUGGUGAAAUACUUUCGCUUAACGAAGGAACUGCCAUUGAUACUACCAGCCUUGAAUACAGUGGAGGUGGGCGGAAUGCGUCAUGUAGCGGUGAAAUGCUUAGAUAUGACGCAGAACACCAAUUGCGAAGGCAGCUCACUACACGAAUAUUGACACUGAGGCACGAAAGCGUGGGGAUCAAACAGG